rnacentral:rRNA from 1 species
GUGCCAGCAGCCGCGGUAAUACGUAGGUGGCAAGCGUUGUCCGGAAUUAUUGGGCGUAAAGCGCGCGCAGGCGGUCCUUUAAGUCUGAUGUGAAAUCUUGCGGCUUAACCGCAAGCGGUCAUUGGAAACUGGAGGACUUGAGUGCAGGAGAGGGAAGCGGAAUUCCAUGUGUAGCGGUGAAAUGCGUAGAGAUAUGGAGGAACACCAGUGGCGAAGGCGGCUCUCUGGUCUGUAACUGACGCUGAGGCGCGAAAGCGUGGGGAGCAAACAGGAUUAGAUACCCUGGUAGUCC